UUCUGUUCCCGGGUGGCUUCGGACCCCUGUCGGAUCGGAAAUCCCAAGGCUGAGGUAGAUUGCAAAUGACCUGCUUUCUUUCUGUUCCUGGGUGCCUUCGGACCCCUGUCGGAUAGUAAAUCCCAAGUAAGGUACCUGCCGUCAGCAGAUUUGAGCUUUCUUCUUGGACACCUAAUACCCACAGUCCUCCAGAGGCCACCGGCAUCAGCCAGGGCCCCGGAGUUUGGGUUAAAAGUCCAGCUGCCAUGUUUUCUCUAUCUGACCCAUUGAAUGGAAAAGACUUUGUCAGAUCGGGUAGCCCCAGGGCUGGGGCUGCCAGUAGUUUUUCCUUUAACUCAUGAAAGACUUGCUUUUGUUGGGAUCCUGAUUCCGUAGGUUCCCGGUCCCCGCCCCCUUUGUGACCUCAUACAAAGGCUUGGCUAAUACUGCAAAGUUUGGGAUGCACAGCCUAUAAAACCCCGUAGCCCCUAAGAAACCCUCACCUGCUUUCUGCCCUUAGGCUCCAGUAGAUUGCAAAUGACCUGCUUACUUUCUGUUCCCGGGCUGCGUUCUGACACCUGUCGGAUAGUAAAUCCCAAGUAAGGUACCAGCCGUCGGCAGAUUUGAGCUUUCUUCUUGGACACCUAUACCCACAGUCCUCCAGGUGGGUCCUA
rnacentral:lncRNA from 1 species